rnacentral:rRNA from 1 species
GAGUUUGAUCCUGGCUCAGAACGAACGCUGGCGGCAGGCUUAACACAUGCAAGUCGAACGCCCCGCAAGGGGAGUGGCAGACGGGUGAGUAACGCGUGGGAAUCUACCGUACCCUACGGAAUAACGCAUGGAAACGUGUGCUAAUACCGUAUACGCCCUUAGGGGGAAAGAUUUAUCGGGGUAUGAUGAGCCCGCGUUGGAUUAGCUAGUUGGUGGGGUAAAGGCCUACCAAGGCGACGAUCCAUAGCUGGUCUGAGAGGAUGAUCAGCCACAUUGGGACUGAGACACGGCCCAAACUCCUACGGGAGGCAGCAGUGGGGAAUAUUGGACAAUGGGCGCAAGCCUGAUCCAGCCAUGCCGCGUGAGUGAUGAAGGUCUUAGGAUUGUAAAGCUCUUUCACCGAUGAAGAUAAUGACGGUAGUCGGAGAAGAAGCCCCGGCUAACUUCGUGCCAGCAGCCGCGGUAAUACGAAGGGGGCUAGCGUUGUUCGGAAUUACUGGGCGUAAAGCGCACGUAGGCGGAUAUUUAAGUCAGGGGUGAAAUCCCGCAGCUCAACUGCGGAACUGCCUUUGAUACUGGGUAUCUCGAGUAUGGAAGAGGUGAGUGGAAUUCCGAGUGUAGAGGUGAAAUUCGUAGAUUUUCGGAGGAACACCAGUGGCGAAGGCGGCUCACUGGUCCAUUACUGACGCUGAGGUGCGAAAAGCGUGUGGAGCAAACAGGAUUAGAUACCCCUGGUAGUCCCACGCCGUAAACCAAUGGAAUGUUAACCCGUCGGGCAGCUUUGCUGUUCGGGUGGCGCAAGCUAACCCCAU